ACGUACACUCCUACGGGAGGCAGCAGUGGGGAAUAUUGCACAAUGGGCGCAAGCCUGAUGCAGCCAUGCCGCGUGUAUGAAGAAGGCCUUCGGGUUGUAAAGUACUUUCAGCGGGGAGGAAGGUGUUGAGGUUAAUAACCUCAGCAAUUGACGUUACCCGCAGAAGAAGCACCGGCUAACUCCGUGCCAGCAGCCGCGGUAAUACGGAGGGUGCAAGCGUUAAUCGGAAUUACUGGGCGUAAAGCGCACGCAGGCGGUCUGUCAAGUCGGAUGUGAAAUCCCCGGGCUCAACCUGGGAACUGCAUUCGAAACUGGCAGGCUAGAGUCUUGUAGAGGGGGGUAGAAUUCCAGGUGUAGCGGUGAAAUGCGUAGAGAUCUGGAGGAAUACCGGUGGCGAAGGCGGCCCCCUGGACAAAGACUGACGCUCAGGUGCGAAAGCGUGGGGAGCAAACAGGAUUAGAUACCCCAGUAGUCCC
rnacentral:rRNA from 1 species